UUUCCGUAGGUGAACCUGCGGAAGGAUCAUUACUGAGUGAGGGCCCCUCGGGGUCCAACCUCCCACCCGUGUUUAACGUACCUUGUUGCUCCAGCGGGCCCGCCUCACGGCCGCCGGGGGGCAUCUGCCCCCGGGCCCGCGCCCGCCGAAGCCACCUGUGAACGCUGUCUGAAGUAUGCAGUCUGAGACAAUUAUUAAAUUAAUUAAAACUUUCAACAACGGAUCUCUUGGUUCCG
rnacentral:misc_RNA from 1 species